UUUAACUCUCCUUUUUUCCCCCCCUAAGCUUGUGUUUCCUCCUUGAGCUUUUAGUCGGGGGGUUUUCCUCGUCGCUAUGGCGAUAACAUCUCUUGUCAACGACAAACCCGCCACAUACUGUAGAUGUUAGUACGAGUCUCCUCCACCUGGGAAAGCAGCUGGACAAGGCUUUGCCAGCCAUGCAACAUCCGUAUCCUUUCGGUAAUUGCCAAUUGUAGCGACUGCCCCCCUGCUUAAAUGUGUAGCAGCAGAGGUGGUGACUCCCUGUACACGUUGUUAUGGCCACCGUUUUAACCCUGCCUACAAAUAAAAAAAUCUGUAGCUUGAGCUGAAGAGCUGCCCUGUGUAAUUUGAGACUGCAUGAUUAUUUGUGCAGAGAAGGGUCAUGUAGCGCUCAGGUCACAGCCCACAGUGGUCUGAACUGACAAAAACUGCCGCAUUUGCGGUAUUUUUAUACUGUUACAAACCAUUCUGCUCAUUUCCUGAGCAAACAAUUUUGCUCUUUUUUUUUUUUUCCAGUUUAACCAUCUAGUUUAUGCAUUCUGGUUUAUCAGUUGUAAUUUUUAAUUUAAUAUUGUUGUUCGGUAAGACCUCAAAUAUAUAUUUUCUCUUGGCGUCCUACAAGCCUUAAGGGACAUCCUACAAGGUCCCUUAGGACAGGGGAGCUAAUGUAAAGUCUUCUGCAGGCUGAAUAUCUUCAUAUAAAUAUGAAUGAGCUUUAAUAUGUGCCACAUUUAAAACUGUGGCACAUAGUUUUAAAUGUGGCACAUUUCCAAACUGACUGUUUCCACUUGAUCAUCUGAACUACACCGUUGUACAGUAGAUUUUACAACCAGGAUAAUUAGAAGUAUAAUGGCCAAAUUUUGUGGAUCACAAGAAUUUCUUCUCCUUCACUCUGCACAGUUAGUAUUAACUCUUUGGCUGGGAAUGAUAUUUAAGAUUUCACGCAACAGCACUGCAGAAUGACAAUUUGCAAGCCUCUCACCAGUGCACCUGGAAGAAGAGCUAUUUGUUUUCUGGCAGCAGUGCUGGCACUGGUUUAAUGCUGCAGUGAGCUGCUCCUUUUCUGCCAGUUCAGUUCCGUGAGCCGCCUCUAAUUUAAGUGACAGCGCUUAUAGAGAGAGCGCUGCUGGCACAGAGGGAGCGGGAAUGCCUGCUCGGGGCGAAGGGAGCGGCGCGGCCACUCGCCCCUUUUGGCCACGCUUGGUUACACGAUUCAUCUGGAGCGUGAAGCUGCCGUUCAGUCACUUGAGCACCAAUUUAACCUACCUGGGAAGUGAACUAAACACUGGGCUUGCCCUAGAACAGUGGCAAAACCCCCUCGUACAUUCUCCUGCGAUUGUUUCAGAUGGGAUAAUCAUUAAAUUACUCCAAUGAAGCAGCCUAAGGGGAAGGCUGCAACUUACUGAAUAGCUGCAGCUGCUUACCAACACCAUCUCUGAGACUACUACAUCCCUUCUGGUUUAUGUUUGUAUACAAACUACCAAAACCAGUUUGUGGAGACAGCCACCUAGGCUUUUAGGUGCUAUGGCAAUACAAAUAUUUAAUAAUAAUCAGGAAACUUGAAGAUGAUAAUGCAAACACAAUAAAAUAGCAAAAAAAAUAUUUUAAGCUAUUACAGAUGCCUUGAUGUUCUCGUAUCAUACAAAUGGAACAAGAAAUCUUCACUUGAAGAUGUUACAGAGCUUUGUUUUCAGUUGAUAAGGUUGCAGUUCAAUUACUGCAAAUGAUCAGGUAGAAAUUAAAUUCUAAAAUGUGAAAAAUGAAUGUGAAAUUCUUCAUCUGUCACCAUUGUGCCUGUUUUGUAAAGCAAUUUGGUUUUUCCUUCUGUUGGGUGAUUUGCAUAACAGGGUAUGAUAUCUGGUUAUUUUGACUUCAUUUAUUUUUAUUACUGAAUUUUUUAUACAAAUCCCUUAGAAGAUGAAAUUAAUUUAUAUAAAUGCUACCACUAAUAUUUUAAGUACAUUCAAAAUCAAAUUCUCAGAUGUUAAUCCAAAGUUUUCAUGCUUUUCGUCUUGCUUCAGCUUUUUAUCUCUAUGAUUCAAUUCUUCAUAGUAAUCCCUUUUAGCUGUCCAUUACUUUUAUCCAUUUACUUCAUCAUUUCUUAUCAUUUAAUCUGCCUUACACUUUUUAUCCCCUCACCUCAUUAACAGUGUUUCAGUAGGAAGUCAGCUCUUUUGUUAUGUAACUUUUCUUCUUAAAGUUGGUCCCUUUUUCUCAUUUCUUUUCAGUUGUAAGAUUUCAUGUACCUUUAAGUUAAAAAUUCCAAUUUCUCUCAUAUUGAGAACAGUGCUCCUUAGCCCAUGACAUCUGACAUGCCUCUCAUGUAAUUUCUAGUGUUUAAACUAAAAUGGUAACAAAAGUAUCUUUCUCUAAUUAUUUGCACAAUCAGUUAUGAAUUAGCAUAAAAUAUAUAAUCCUUAUAGCUCAGUUAAUAGGAAUCAAAAACUUUGGGACAGAGAAGAAAGCAACUUUCCACAGUCCUUAUCCACAGAGCUUUGAAAAUACAUGUCUGUCACAGACAUAUUUUAUGAAAAAUCAUUUUGCUAGGAUCUUUUCUUCUGAGAAGCUGGGAAGCUUCAGCUUCGCCAUGUUUUGCUGCUUUGGAAUGUGAUUUGGAGAAUUGUUUACCCAGUAUGUGGAAUUGUUUUUACUUGAUGACGAAUGAUGGCCACCUGUGUCGAGGCUGUGAGCAGUCACAAGAUUUUAUUGUGAUUCCUUUCCUUUUCCUUUCCAGCCUUCUGAUGGAUCCUUUCUCUCUAUUCUUUUUAGUAUAGUUUUAGUACAGCAUUUUAAUAUAAUACAAUAUAGUAAUAUAAUAAAUCAGCCUUCUGAAACAUAGUGUCAAGAUUCUCAUCUCCUCCCUCGUCCUGGGACCCUUGAACACAACCACAUGGCUGUUUGUGAUGAAAGAACAGUUUCACCCCAGAUCAUCCCUAAGAGAAGAGUAAAUGCAGCACCCCUGCCAGAGACAUGACAGACAAAGUCACUGACAUAUACAUAAGAUGCAAAACCUCUUAAAGUAAGGGAUAUUAUUGAAGUGACCAAAACAAGAUAAAGGUAACUAAAUGUAAAUCGACAUCUGUUGUCUUGACUCUGUUGGCUGCUGAGUAUCUCUCAUCUCCCCACAUUCCCAACUGUGAGAAGCAGCAUGGCACAGCACACCCGGGAUUCAUGCCAGACAUGCACUUACAGUCCUCAUUUUAAAUGUAAACUCCAGUACCAUUCUCAAGCUUCAUGUCUGGUUGCAGCAUCCAGGACUUCCCUGCUCACAAGCAUCACUGGGAAGGAAGCCUGUCUUGCUUUCAUUUGGGCAAGUUCCAAGAUGAAUAUUUUUUUAAAAAACACCUGUAAACUGACAAAGACUCAGCAGUGAUGACAUUCAUGGGGAACAGAAAAAUUCUUUUCAGCUUCAAAAAUACCAAGAACAUCUGAAAAUUACUUUUCAGAUUCAGAGGCAAUUCACAGGGGAAUUCAGCACCCAGGUCACUUUCAGUGGAAUUCCUAAAUGGAGCACAAAUACACUGAUCACUUUAUCAGUGUAUUUGUGCCACAUUUAGGAAUACCACUGAAAGUGGCCUGGGUGCAUAACAGAAAAGUGGAAGAAUAAUUUUAGAGUGGUCAAACAACAUGAAAACCUUAGACAGAGAAAAGCAAAUGCUUUUUUUAUUGUUAAGAUACAGAUCUAGAAAAAUCUCCUUGAGAGAUGUAUAAACAGGGAAAAGAGUAAAAUGAGAACAGUCCCCAAAUGCAAUAUGAUACUAUUUGAAGACCAAGUAUAAUGCAAAAAUGUUAGUAUAAUUAAGUUACAGAUGUAAACUGCUGCAAAUAUUCAGUGUAUCAUAUGUAUUCUGUUAUCAUUAAAAUGCUGAAUGUUAUUUAACUGGAAAUCUUUGUGCUCAUCUUGCUAAUUAAAAAAGAAGUUAGUUUGUUUCUCUACAAUGUAAGAAGUAGGAUGGAAGUUAUGGCAACAUGAAUUUAUAGUUUCAGAUCAAACUACAGAGAGGAAGAAGCCAGAAGUCCUUAUCCCAUAGCCAGACGUGCUGCCAAAGGAUUGCUGUGAGGCGAGACUGUAUGUGGCAGUGCCACCUGGUGACUGAUGCUGGGACAAAGUGCUCUGGAAUUAUUAUCUAGCACAGACUUAUUGUAUGAAAUAAUAAAUUUUCCUUACUUUUUCAAAGCUCAUUACGUGAAGUGCAAAACUAACAUUGAAACUUCCAAUUUAUAUAAAUGUAACAAUAUGUGUAACAUAAAACACUGACAGAAUAUUUGGAAACUAUAGUACUUACACAAAAGAUUCUCGAAGUAGGGUAGCUUUGUAAUUAGCCACAGCAGGUAAAUGCAGUUUAGGGAAGAGAAAACCCAGAAAUACUAAAAUUAGCCUUCCUUCAUGGAAAAGAUCAGCCAUCUCAGCUUCCUUAUUUUCUCAAUGACACAAAGUCAUACAUAAUUAAGAGAUAUAUCCCAGUAUCUCAACUAAAUGCCAUGUAAUUUCUCCACCUUCUCUCAGAAAAGCCUUGGAAACAAGAAUCAGGAAGUCUUUCUAAGCACCCAGGACUGGGUAUGAGGAAUGCUGAGUAUCAUCCUUCUUACUUGUGCUGGUAUUAGCUAGGGAAUAAUUCCUGGUAGGGGGCUGGUUUGGAUUUGUACUGGAAACAUUGUUAAUAGUAGAGAUGUUUUUUUUGUUGCUGAGCAGUGCUUACACAGAGCCAAGACCUUUUCUGCUUCUCACAUCACCCCACCAGUGAAGGGGCUGGGGGUGCAUGAGUAGUUAGGAGAGGACAGUUGGGACAGCUGAUCCCAACUGACCCAAGGGACAUCCAAUACCACAUUGUGGGAACUCAGUACAUCACUCCGGAUGUCCAGAGCUACCGAGACAACCCUUGGGGGGCUCGGAGGCCCUGGAAUGUUGCCAAAAGUACCUGGUGGCUUGACUUUGAUCCUUUUAAAGAAAUGACACCUGAAGGUGAGGAAAUGAGAGAAUUUCAGGUCUGAAUGGUGACAGGAUGUUAUUCACUUGCUAGAACUUGAGUUAUAAUGCACUGUACAGGGGGGUUUUAUGUGUUGUACAGGGGGGUCUAGAACUCUGUGCAUGGAUCAGGAGUCCCAAGAUGGAGGAAUUUGGGCGUGCCCUGUCCUUCUUCUUUCUUCUCCUUGGCAUCCAUGUUCAGGAUGAUGUUGGCAUGUGUGGAUUGGUUCAUAGAAAGAGUACACUUGCCAACAAGGGCAGAAAGUAUUGGGAAUUAAAGGUAAAUAUCUAAUACGUAGUUUUCAUUAUAAAAGAGACAACCGCCUCGUGGGCGGGGGAGAGUGCCUUUGGCUGUCCUGCUGAUCAGACCUCGGCUGGACAGACAGAAAAUCUUUGUAGAUAAGAAAUAAUAAACUCGACUGAAGACCUAAAAGCAAGAGUCCAGACUCCUUCUUCGAGAGCGCGGCCUACCCAGAAC